rnacentral:rRNA from 1 species
CCUACGGGAGGCAGCAGUGGGGAAUAUUGCACAAUGGGCGAAAGCCUGAUGCAGCAACGCCGCGUGAGCGAUGAAGGCCUUCGGGUCGUAAAGCUCUGUCCUCAAGGAAGAUAAUGACGGUACUUGAGGAGGAAGCCCCGGCUAACUACGUGCCAGCAGCCGCGGUAAUACGUAGGGGGCUCUCUUUAUCCGGAAUUACUGGGCGUAAGGGGUGAGUAGGUGGUUUCUUAAGUCAGAGGGGAAAGGCUACGUCUCAACCGUAGUAAGCCUUUGAAACUGGGAAACUUGAGUGCAGGAGAGGAGAGUGGAAUUCCUAGUGUAGCGGUGAAAUGCGUAGAUAUUAGGAGGAACACCAGUUGCGAAGGCGGCUCUCUGGACUGUAACUGACACUGAGGCACGAAAGCGUGGGGAGCAAACAGGAUUAGAUACCCUAGUAGUC